AGCAGUGUGGCCUAGUGAAUAGAGCACGGGCCUGGGAGUCAGAAGGAUCUGGGUUCUAAUCCCAGCUCUGCCA
rnacentral:tRNA from 1 species